CGCGAGCAUACUCCGAGCCACCCCGCGCAGGGUCUAACACUGACGCUCCCCCCGCAAACCUCAAGAUCUCCGCAGGAGCGAGGCAUCCCUCACGGGGCGUCCUUACCUUGGGGUUGGUCAGGAGCUGGUGCUCGUCGCUGUGCAGUAGCGCCCUGGAGUUGGACUCGGAGUUGUUCACGUAGACCUGGACGCAGGGGUACUGCGAGGUGCCCCUGCAGUCGGCGCCACAGGUGAAAGUGCACUCGAACACCUCGCCGAUCUGCUGCACCGACAGCACCGUGCAGUUGGCCGCCGUGGCUUGCAGAUCCUGCAGCGCGGGACUGAGCCAGCAGAAACCGAAGAUAAAGAGUGACACGACGCCGGAGAUGAUGAGGAACAAGCCGAGCCGGAUGCUCUUGUCCUCGGCUUCCGUGUACUCGAGUCUUGCCACCCUUGGCCCAUCCCGGAAUUUGUAGAUGAGCUUUCCAGGAGCGCUGUGCAAGGCGAUAGCGGCGUGCAGACUCACUUUGGGACAGGUACCGUUCGUAGAGCUGCGUCCUGCUCUCUUAAUUCUUCCCUCCACACCCACCUCCCCACCUCGCCCGCGCAUACCUUCAGCCUCUAUACUUUUCGUGACCUUUAAAAAAAAAGUUAAGAUGAUCUUUUUCCAAACCACACUUCUAUCAAAAUAUCAAACUUGGAGAACUAUUUCGACCUACAUUUUGAAGAGUCAGAAUGUUCACUUUGCGAAAUAUAUAAAGAUAUAUUUUUCUUGACUUGCAAGUCCCAAAUGAAUAUACUCUUAAUUAAAUUCAGUUAUGUUCCUGAUGAAUAUGGAAACACCAAGUCAUGGAAUUCUUGACUUCUCUUUCUUGGAUUUCAAAUGUUACUUUACUGGUAUAGUACUUUUCAGCUGGAGUCCCGAUCUGCUACUUUGAAGUACUCCUUGACGUGGCAGGUAACAAUAUUUCCAAGCAAGGGGUAAAGCAAGUUUAAUUACAGGAAGACCCUAAGUGUUUUUCUGAAUAAAUUAAGAAGGUGCAGGGUUUGGAAAACUUCCAAAUCAGGAAGACACUUUGUACUUUAAUACCUUUCAAGUUUUGAGAGACUAGAUUUCUUUCCUUCUUUACCUAGGAAUUAUAUUAUUUUCUUCCCUUUCUGUUGGCAUAAAGACAAUUGUUAGUGGUUACACACACUACCUGAAAGGAAAAGUGAGUUUAAUAGUUGAAGCAGCUUAACCUAAGAUCACAGAUUUUCAGCGUGAAUCUUUUUCCUACGGCAGGUUAUAAUUAUCUUCCUUUUCAAGAAGGCUAAAGCCAAUCUAAGAUCUGAGGCAGUGGUGAGCAAAUAAGAUCCUAUUAUCUUUUAAGAUCUCAUAGCUCUGAUAAUGCUGAGCAACUUGACCUUGAGGCAGAAUUAAUUCCUAUAGCGUUCAUAAAACACAGGGAUGGGGGUGUCUAAAAAUAAUUUAAUGAAUAUGAUUCAUUUUUCAAUGAUUCCAGAGCUCAAAGAGUUCUGUGAAUGAACCCUUUGCCUCAAAACUGAAGCAAGAUGGUCUUCCAAGUAAAUCUAGAGAACAAACAUCAGAAAAUUCUGUCUUAAUUUAACCUAAAUUCUUAAAGGCUUUUAAAUCCAUUUUUUUCAAGUUCUGCAUUUAGUCACUUUCCUUCUUUAUAAUUAUUCUAAAAGUAUUUGAAGAAACUGUUGCCAUCUAGCCUUCUGUUCUUUAAACAUUUACUUUUCUCCUCUUAUUUCCUAUUUUUAAAUUAGCUUGCUUCUCUUCUGAACCUUUCAUUAUUUCAUGUGUUUCUUAUUGAAAGUCAAACACAUCAAAAGACUUUCCAAAUUUCUGUUUUAUCCUUAAUUGAACACUGUGUUUGUUAUCAGUUUCAUUUAUUUGAGGUGGGGCUGCCUUUUCACAUUUCCAAGGAAGGUUGGGUAUGUCAGCCCCUCAGUUUCUGAAAACAGGUCACCAUUGACUCUCUUAAAUUAGAAUGGUAGUAAGAACCCCUGGGAUGUCAGAGAUGCUAAGCUCUGAGGUCACUGCGCAUGUUGUUUCCCGUGGAGGGCAGAGGCACAGGA